GACGAACGCUGGCGGCGUGCUUAACACAUGCAAGUCGAACGGAAAGGCCCUGCUUUUGUGGGGUGCUCGAGUGGCGAACGGGUGAGUAACACGUGAGUAACCUGCCCUUGACUUUGGGAUAACUUCAGGAAACUGGGGCUAAUACCGGAUAGGAGCUCCUGCUGCAUGGUGGGGGUUGGAAAGUUUCGGCGGUUGGGGAUGGACUCGCGGCUUAUCAGCUUGUUGGUGGGGUAGUGGCUUACCAAGGCUUUGACGGGUAGCCGGCCUGAGAGGGUGACCCGCCAACUUGAGGAGGAGUUAGAGCCCGACCCCCCUCGGGGGGGAGGAGGGGGGAGUAAUGAAAAAAGGGCGGAGGCCAGAUUGAUCAACGCCGGGGGGGGGAGGGAGGCCUUCGGUUGGGAAGCCCCUUUCGCCUGUGCCGGAGGGGAAUGACCGUAAAUGGAGAAGAAAACACCGGCAAAUUACUG
rnacentral:rRNA from 1 species